GCUGGGCGUGGUGGCGCGUGCCUGUAAUCCCAGCUACUCAGGAGGCUGAGGCAGGAGAAUCGCUUGAACCCAGGAGGUGGAGGUUAUAGUGAGCUGAAAUUACACCACUGCACUCCAGCCUGGGUGACAGAGCAAGACUCUGUUUCAA
ensembl:misc_RNA Metazoa_SRP Metazoan signal recognition particle RNA